UAAAUGUGCCCUCCAAGUGUGGCCAUUUUCAUCCCAAUAGCCAUAAAAUUUCAUAUGGAGGAGCUUCGCAAGUUCCCCCAAUUGUUGCCAAAGGGCUGGAUCUUCCCGGAAUGUAAACAGAACUUCCAACUGCUGGAUCACAGAAUGGUAUUUCCCCCCUUCCAAUUUCAAGAAUUUCCCGGUGAAUGGAACAGGAAACAGCCAAAAACGGGACCAAAAAUUGCAAAAUAUUGGAGGUGUUGAGACACCAAAAAUUGCAAAUUUUUGGUGUCUCAACACCUCCAAUAUUAUAUUGUUUUAGCACAGUUUGCCACUUUGAGUUGAGAAUUUCCAGACUUAUACAUGAGUACAUAGCGUGAAUAGUUAACAUUAUUUGAUAUAAUGUAUUUCAAGCAUUUUGUGCAUACUGUGAGUGUACUUUUUAUGGUAACUCUGUUAUCAGCAGCCAGAUUGCUGUUCCAUAUUGUAAUGAAGUGGCAAGGGAGAGAAGUGUGUCAUUGCUGAUGUGAGAUUAGGACUGGACCCACCUUUAGGUAGAGUAGUAUAAUGACUUCAUAUGAUUACAAUUCAGCUAUUAUUUCCAAGCCAGCCCCUUCUGUUAUAGGAGACAAUUGUGAAUGUGAUAGGGAUGGAAAAAACUGUUCAUUGUUAUUCAUUCCUGGGUUAAGAAACAGUUGGGGAAGCAAUUCACCCAUCUCUUUAUUUAUAGGCUAGUUUUCUCCAAAACUUAGAUUCAGGGUGGCUUACAAAAGACAGAAAAAAACCAAAAAAAAAACAUAUCUAGUUAAACAUACAGAAUUUAGAUUAACACCAUUUUAAAUAAUAACAGAAGUAAAAUAAUUUAAAAACCUACUUUAAAAUUAUGAUUAUAUUCAGUGCUCUGCCAUAAAAAAUCCUUUCUCGUUAAAGGUUGACUGAAAGAAAAGAAACAAAGUAGGAGCCACCUGAACUUCCCUGAGCAAGGAGAUUCAAAGUAUGGGAGCAACCACCAAGCAAGCCUUCUCCUGCAUUACCAUCAAACAUGCUUGUAAAGGCAGUGGGACAAAGAAAAUUGCCUUCCCUGCUGAUGUUAAAUCUUGAGAGGUUCAUAUGAAAAGAUAUAGUAUUUCAAACACAUCAGGAAGAAUAAUAAACAAGUGAAGCUCUUGUGUUCCAGCUCCUUUUCCAUGGUUCAGCUGGAAGCUUUAACAAACAGCAAAGUGUGAUACUGUCUUCAGUGCUAUGGGUUGCCAGGCAAUCAGGGCAGAAAUAAUUAACACAUGAAAGUGGUCUCCCAGUAUCCUGCUGAAUGCAUUUGGAAAGAGUUCAAAUGGAAAAAAAGAUUUCUUAGCUUUACCACUUUCUGGCCUGCACACAUGUGCACGAUCAUUUGGAAAGGCAGCUGCCAAGCUUCCAUUUUGAACAGCUUCGCUGUGCUAACUGGAGAGCUUGCAUUAUGAAUUCCAAGUCAAUCCCUAGUUAACAGAGGAAAUGUUUACUGCAUUACCUACAUUGUCUUUUUUUUUUUUUUGCCCAGAAGCCAUGGUAUCGUCCACUGCUCUAAUUAUCCAGAAGCAAUCUUUCAAACGGAAAGACAAUGCCUAAGUGAUUAUACAUAUUUAAAAUAGCAUAAAGGCAACCUUAAUGUUAGUUCAAUAUUAUUAUUUUAUUUUAUUUUAUUUUAUGCAAAUAGAUUAGAAACAUUAUUUCUGGAGUACAGCUUCCAGAAUCCCCCAGACAGUAUGAGUAUAAGCCAUGAUAAUGGGGGAUUCUGAGCAUUGUAGUCUGAAAAUUACUGAUCAGAAUUCAGUAAUGGAUUUACAUUUUUAUAAGUGGGCUUGCAUUUGCACAACAUGCAUUUGAGCAGUUUCACAAAGUCAGUAUGCAGCAAGAGGUUGCUAUGAUAUAACUUUGUAGGCAAGCCGAUAAAGUGACAUGUGAAAAUUGAGUUCAAUGAACUUCAGGGUACUGUUGCUGGUGCCCUGAUAAAAAUAUUUACAAUUUGUUAGAAGGACUGGUUGCCAGAGAAGAAUGACCAAAACAAUCAAAGGACUGGAAGGUGUGCCCAAUGAUGAGUGGCUUUGGAAGCUGUGUAUGUGUGGUCGAACCAGGCUGGCCAUGUGCAUUUAAUCUAAUUUGACCUGCAGCAGAGAGUUCCACCGAUUGGCAGGAACCAUGCUGGAACCAAUCUGGCAAUGAAAUAUGUGUGUGUGUUCCAGCAGCAGCUUAAGAUACGUCUCUUGCCUCCUUCCUAUUCCCCUUCCUUUCCCUAACCAUGUAACUAAUCCCUAAUAAAAAGUAUCCUUUCGUUCUAA